rnacentral:rRNA from 1 species
AUAAACGCUUGCGGUGUGCCUUAUGCAUGCAAGUCGAACGGUUCUGAUUUAUCAGGACAGUGGCGGACGGGUGAGUAACACGUAAGUAACCUGCCUUUAAGUAGGGGAUAACUCUGAGAAAUUAGAGCUAAUACCGUAUGUGGUGGUAGGGGUAGUGCUCUAUCACUAAAGCCUAAGGGCGCUUGGAGAGGGGCUUGCGUCCGAUUAGCUAGUUGGUAGGGUAACGGCUUACCAAGGCAAUGAUCGGUAACUGGUCUGAGAGGAUGAUCAGUCACACUGGAACUGAGACACGGUCCAGACUCCUACGGGAGGC